rnacentral:rRNA from 1 species
UAGUGGCGAACGGGUGAGUAACACGUGGGCAAUCUGCCCUGCACUCUGGGACAAGCCCUGGAAACGGGGUCUAAUACCGGAUAAUACUGUGCCCCUCAUGGGGGACGGUUNAAAGCUCCGGCGGUGCAGGAUGAGCCCGCGGCCUAUCAGCUUGUUGGUGGGGUAAUGGCCUACCAAGGCGACGACGGGUAGCCGGCCUGAGAGGGCGACCGGCCACACUGGGACUGAGACACGGCCCAGACUCCUACGGGAGGCAGCAGUGGGGAAUAUUGCACAAUGGGCGAAAGCCUGAUGCAGCGACGCCGCGUGAGGGAUGACGGCCUUCGGGUUGUAAACCUCUUUCAGCAGGGAAGAAGCGAAAGUGACGGUACCUGCAGAAGAAGCGCCGGCUAACUACGUGCCAGCAGCCGCGGUAAUACGUAGGGCGCAAGCGUUGUCCGGAAUUAUUGGGCGUAAAGAGCUCGUAGGCGGUUUGUCACGUCGGGUGC